AUUAGGUUGGUACAAAAGUAAUUGCUGUUUUUGCCAUUGCUUUAAUGGCAAAAACUGCAGUUACUUUUGCACCAACAUAAUA
ensembl:miRNA